UACGAAGGUGGCAAGCGUUAUUCGGAUUUACUGGGCGUACAGGGAGCGUAGGCGGUUCGGUAAGCCCUCUGUGAAAUCUUCCGGCUUAACCUGGAAAAGUCGGGGGGGACUGCCGGGCUAGAGGACGGGAGAGGAGCGCGGAAUUCCCGGUGUAGCGGUGAAAUGCGUAGAGAUCGGGAGGAAGGCCGGUGGCGAAGGCGGCGCUCUGGAACGUUUCUGACGCUGAGGCUCGAAAGCGUGGGGAGCAAACAGG
rnacentral:rRNA from 1 species